CGCCUCUUGAGUUUCUAUAAGAGGUCCAGCCUGCCCAGUGACUUUGUUCAACGGCCGCGGUAUCCUAACCGUGCGAAGGUAGCGUAAUCACUUGUUCUUUAAAUGCGGACUAGUAUGAAUGGCAUCACGAAGGUUAUACUGUCUCCCCUUUCUAAUCAGUGAAACUAAUCUCCCCGUGAAGAAGCGAGGAUAAAACUAUAAGACGAGAAGACCCUAUGGAGCUUUAAACAUUAUAGCACUUGCCACAUAAAACAUAAACUUCAGAAUUAUUAAUUCUUUAAGCAACUUGACUAUAAGUUUUUGGUUGGGGUGACCGCGGAGCAUAAUAUAACCUCCAUGUUGAAAGAUUUAUUUCUAAGCUAAGAGCUACACCUCUAAGCAUCAACAUAUUGACAUUCAUUGACCCAAUAUAUUUGAACAACGAACCAAGUUACCCUAGGGAUAACAGCGCAAUCCACUUCAAGAGCUCCUAUCGACAAGUGGGUUUACGACCUCGAUGUUGGAUCAGGGUUUCCCAGUGGUGCAGCCGCUACUAAAGGUUCGUUUGUUCAACGAUUAAAACCCUACG
rnacentral:rRNA from 1 species